ensembl:lncRNA
UUGGUGAGCUUCUGCUCCCUACAGGAUUCCUAGGCAUCAUCCAGAGGUAAAUCUGACUUGGAAGAGAAGAACGAAAAGAAGGAAAGAAAAAAAAACAGGAGAAAUGGUAGCUCUAUGUCAGUCAUAGUCACAGCUGUUACUAGGGGAAAGAGGCAAAUUUAGAGAACUAAACUCUUACCCUCAUGAAUUUUGAUUAGAAUUGCCUUUGGGCCAAAUUUUCUCAUUAGAUGCUAAUAAAUGUUUUCCAUCAUGUGCAAGGAAGGUUUUACAAAAAUUCCAUUUCCCAGAACUCUGUGAAUGAAAUGGAAACCCCCUUUUCUGGUUGUGGAAAAAAAACAAAGACAAAAAGUUCCUAGCUCAGAGUUUCUUGAGUCCCCUCUGGUUUGGCUAGGUGGCGCCCUAGCCUAAUGCAUGGGCUUCCUUGGCGCCGGGCGGCCGCUUUCUGUGGGGGGUAAGAGUGAAGAGAAGGAAGAAGACUUCAGCUUCUGCGGUUCUCCCCAGGAGUUAGUCAGGAUCCUCAGAUCGACUGACAGGAGGUGAAACUAAUUCUGAUUUACACUAUCAUCUUCCUGCUUCUACACCUUUUGCCAAGAUAAAACCCAUGACUCCCUAGAAAGUGAGGAAGAUUGUCCCUGAGCUGACUUCCGUGCCAAUCUUCCUUUCUUUUGUAUGUAGGAUGCCAUCACAGCAUGGCUUGAUGUGCAGUGUGUAGGUCUGCGCCCAGGAUCUGAACCUGCAAACCACAAAAAAGCACCAAAGCAGAGCAUGCAAACUUAACUUCUAUGUCACCGGACCAGCCCCAGGAAUGAUCAAUUUUUGACCCUAAGGAAUGUUGGAAUGAAGCCCUGCAAGGAAGUAGAGGUCUGCACAGAGUUCAAAAUUGAAGCUUGAACCAAUCAAAGUUUAUAGCACCAUAAAAUAUUUAGACCUUUUUGUGUGACAUGUAUACAGGGGAGACUGUGCAUUUUAAAUAUUUAUAGCUGAUAAAUAUUUUUCUUUAUAUGACAAUACUUGACACAUAGCAGCUUGCAGGAGAAAAAUGCAUGAAUUCAGCAUUCAGGUGAAUUAAUUUCACAUCCUGUCCUAAGGUCAAACUGUGGUGCUGGCUCAAUGGCCAAAAGUUGGCAGGCCAAUUGCCAAAACAAUCAAUUGGAUCAUGGUGCAAUCCAAUUCUCUCAUUAAGACAACUGAAACAAUAACAACUAAAUCAAAUUGACUCUAUGGAAAUCUAAUCAAUUGUUCCACAAUCAGAUAUAACAGCUCUCCAAUCAAAUUAAUUUAAUUUUAUUUGGUUUAGUUAAGUGACAUGGCACAAGCUUCAUGGGUUCCUGUUCUUUCCUCAUACAUAGCAUGACACAGUAUUAGCAUUUGGAGGGACCCCAGAGACAGCUGGUUCUGUGCUUCUCCCGUGGGAGAAAAGUGUAGGCAGUACACAAAGUCACUGGAUAAAUGUGGUGUGUCUCUCUAGAGUGCCGAGUGUAUCUUCCAGUUGGGAAGAGGACUCAUUUACAUAUUUAGACAAGUACAGAUGUAUCACGGAAUAUGUGUUAGUCAGGAUAGAUUAGAUUAUGGUUUGAUAAAAGAUAUUUCCAAUCUCAGUGAUUUAAAACAGCAAUGCUUAUUUUUCAUUCAUAUGGCAUGUCCAUGAGGGUCGCUGCGGCCUGUGUUCCGUGUUGUCCCCAUUCCAGGAUCCAGACUGAUGAAGUAGAAUCUCCGUAGAAGUUUGCCUCUUGUCUUAGGGGAGGCAAAGACAGCGAGAGUAAUUCAGGGACUAGAUCUUAAUGCACCCACCUGGAAGUGGCACAUGUGUUUUCCACACACACUUCACUGGCCAAAGCAUGUUAUAUAGGCCCACCUAUCAUCAAAGAGGGGCAGAGAAGUACAAUCCUACUAUGUGCCCAGAAGAAUUAGAAAUAUUUUGUGACUAGUAUUAACAUUCACCACAAAAUGAGGUGCAAAGUUCAUGUAAACUUUAAGAUGAGACACAAAACUUCGAAGAAAUUUCUUACAACCCUUGUGUACCCACCAAAAUGGUGACUAAAUGGAGGAAUCCCAGAAAAU